rnacentral:rRNA from 1 species
GACGAACGCUGGCGGCGUGCCUAAUACAUGCAAGUCGAACGCAGUGGGGACGGGUGAGUAACACGUGGGUAACCUCCCAUCAGAGGGGAUAACCCUUGGAAACAGGUGCUAAACCGAUACUGUUGUAUGCACCCGCGGUGCAUUAGCUAGUUGGUGAGGUAACGGCUCACCAAGGCCACGAUGCAUCGCCGACCUGAGAGGGUGAUCGACCACACUGGGGCUGAGACACGGCACAGACUACUCCGGGAGGCAGAAGUCGGGAAUCGUCGGAAAUGGACGAAAGUCUAAACGAGCCACGCCGCUUGAGUGAAGAAGGUUUUCGGCUCGAAAAACUCUGUUGUUAGAGAAGCGGUAUCCAACCAGAAAGCCACGGCUAACUACGUGCCAGCAGCCGCGGUAAAAC